rnacentral:rRNA from 1 species
CCCUUAGAUGUUCUGGGCCGCACGCGUGCUACACUGAGUGGAUCAGCGGGUCAGGUUGCGCGAAAGCGUUUCCUAAUCUUUAAAUCCGCUCGUGAUGGGGAUUGACGGUUGCAAUUUUCUGUCAUGAACGAGGAAUACCUUGUAAGCGCGGGUCAUCAUCCCGCGCUGAAUACGUCCCUGCCCUUUGUACACACCGCCCGUCGCUCCUACCGAUUGAGUGGUCCGGUGAGGCUUUGGGAUCUGAGCGGAAAGAGCGUUUCGCUGUUUCUGCUCGGAAAACUCAGUCGAACCUUAUCAUUUAGAGGAAGUAAAAGUCGUAACA